UGCAGUCUUUCAUUCUGAUUCAGAACUUGGUAUCGGUGCCCAGUGUCUGCUGCUGAACAAUCCUGGAAUCUAUUGGCUGCUGACUGAGGCGGAGCUAGUGAGCCAAAUGACAGAGAGAGAGAGAGAGAGAGAGAGAGAGAGAGAGAGAGAGAGAGAGAGAGAGAAGGUUUCUAAUGCAAAUCCCAGAUAAUUUACCAAGUAGAAAAAUCAGAUAUUCAUCAACAACAGAACAGACAAUAUUAUUAAAAGACUCCAAAGCAUCCAAAUCUCCAAUGUGUUUAUAAAAUGUGAAUUACAGCCAGAGUCUGGCCCU